AUACGUACAUACUAACCGUACUAUUACUAACUAACUUUUCGACACGCUGCCUGCUGAUAUGAUGCAGUGCGACUGAAGAAAUUUAUAGAUCUGAUGUCAUGAGCGAUGCAUCGAAUUUCCAGCAAGGUCAAAUCAAAUUUCUAGUUACAGCUUUCCAAUGGUAUAAAAUUUGUUGGGAUUCCUUCAAGAUUUAAAAAAGUCACCGAACUCUCUACCUUUUGUCAGUCAGCCAUCGACGGGCAGGGCAAGGUGCCAAACCAGGACUAGAUGCAGACAUCUGAUCAUGUGCAUGGACAUCAACCGCAUAGCCAGCAUGCCAACACUUACAGAGCGCGCAAAGCGCGCUCCCUAGGGGGGAGGGUCAGGGAGGGGGGUGUUUCCCCUUUAGAUAUCUCAUUAAAUUUCAGUCAAAAGAAGACUUCUCUUGCGUCUCUAAUACCCUUAUCACCACAAAUUCAAUUGACUUGCUAGGGCCGUCUGCACCAUCCCGAGUUUUCAAAUUAGCGCGCUAUUUCUGAUCCGGCAAAUUAUCCCGAUCUGAAAAAUCUCGAGAUAGUUUGCAGUGGAGACGCAAUUAUCGCGCUAGUUCGUAGGAUUAAUCUCGAGAUUGCAAUCCCAAGUCAACUCGGGUUAAUUUUCAAAAUAGCGCGCUAUUUUACGAAUUAUCCCGCUAAUUCGUAGGUGCAGACGCACUCGAGAUUGGACUUGGGGUAAUUUAUUCAUGACGUCAGUCCAUAAUGCAAUUCGCGUUCCACUUCCGCCUUGGUCAAAACAUAAACACGUGCGAAAGUCAACUUUAUACAUGCGAAUAGAUAUUAUCGCGAAUAGCAUUCAUCAAUUGCCUCAUCAGCAACGAUGGUGUCCCACCAGUGAAUGGAUUUUGGGAGAGACAAGACCGAAGGGGGAGGCGCUCAUCGACGAUGGUCAUAUUAAAUAACAACACUGACAGCAGUGUCGUCUUAUUCCUUCGCAAAAUGUGAGCAAAUAGCAUUUCUUUCCUCCUUCUCUCCCUCUCUCUCUCUCGCUGUGUCGUUGCCUCCUACUCCGCCAUCAUAUUUAACGAAGAAUACAUCACUGCUUCACUCGCUGAGCUGAGAGGAUUGUUGCAUAACACCGGUCGAAUUCGGCGAAAGUGCUAGUGAAAGAAGUACAUUGCUUGCAUAUAUCGCGGGAAGUUAUUCAAAAGCGCGGGCCGUUGAAACUCCAAGAUCCGAAAGUGCGCAUGCUCGGAAUAUCGGGCUUGUUGCCUCGCUCGAGCAGGAUUGCGAUGGUGGAGACGGGGUUUCUUGAAUCUCGAGAUUAAUCGCGAAGUAGGCCGAUCGGGCUAAAAUCUCGAGAUUGAGCAAACUCGGGAUGGUGCAGCACCGCCUGCUGUGAUAAAAAACAAAACCAGUUUUCAAAAGAAAAGAUGGGCGCCCACAAAAUGGGAAAAAAGUUGUCUUCAAAAUUCCUUCUACCACGCGAAGCGCAAAAGCUUAGACGUUUUAUUUUAAAAAAUGAGAACAGAAGUGAUAUAAAAUGCCUACCUUUUUCACAUCAAAUUUGAUUGUAAAAAGUUUAGACACUUAUAAAUUUCUUUAACUCGUAAAACAGCUUAGAAAGCUGGAUAUGGAGGAAAUAUUUCUUCCUGCGAAUGGCAAGCUCUGAAUUUUAUACCUUUAACCUGCUCUAAUGUUGAUAUUUCUUAGAUAAUAUGAAGAAAAAUUUAGCUCAAAAUGUGAAAGGGAUGACGAAAGCUAGAAGAGGGACUUUUCCUUUCCCAUGCACGCGAAGCACGGAACCUUCUGUGACUUGUUUUAGAAGAAGAAAAAUUGUGUAAUUUUGCUCAUAAUAUUAAACGCUUCCUUUUGUAUGAUUAAGAAACUUCAGUGAUAUUCAAAAUUUUAAAUCAAUGGCGCAGAACCAAAACAGGACCGGAGAUGAAGAAUAAAGUUUCAUCGUAGUACGUUUGCAUACAGCAGGGCACAAAUUUAAUGCUUCCCCCUUUGAGCAGAUAUUUUGCCAACAAAUUGCUUGCUGAAAAGUGGAAGAAAUAGCAUUUUGGGGACUCGGGGAGUGACGGUAUAAAAGUUUACCCGUUAUGAACAGAAGAGCCGAAAUUUUGUGUCAGUGCAAGUUUUAAAAAGCACUUUUUAUACUACCCAUGUAUACUUUAUAAUUUCUGGCAAGAAUGCAAUUCCCAUGGCUGGGAGGGGGAAAAACGGAGUAGAAAAAAGUGUUGGAAACAAAAGGGAAAGGCAAUUCUAAAAUUUUGUAUGAAGAGAGAAAAGUACAUCUCAUUUAGGUUUUUAUUCUUUUGACAUGUUUGACAAAAAAAACCCAGUAAAGCUAUACCCUUCUUCCCUUUUCUCCCUUCGCUUUUCCUUUUUCUCCCUUUUCCCCUUCUUUUUUUUUCUUUUUGGGGGCGUUUGGGGGGGGGGGCAACUGCCCCCACCGCCCCCCUGGCUACGCGCCUGAUGGACAUAUAUUUUUAAGAGGUUUUGGUUCUACCCACCCCAUGCAUGUGCCCGGCCAGUCACCCUCUGUUCAUUUCUCUGGUUAUGCCCCCAUUCACAUGUUCAAUCCAGCUUGAAUGACCCAGAAAACUUAAGAUGUAGGGCAAACAUUUCUAGCACAUUUCAAAGACUCUGGUUAAGCUUCUGAGAAAAGAAUAG